GCAACACAGGACAUAACAAUCAGCAACAACCAACACAGGACAUAACAAUCAGCUCUCUCAGCAACAACCAACACAGGACAUAACAAUCAGCUCUCUCUCAGCAACAACCAACACAGGACAUAACAAUCAGCUCUCUCAGCAACAACCAACACAGGACAUAACAAUCAGCAACAACCAACACAGGACAUAACAAUCAGCUCUCUCAGCAACAACUAACACAGGACAUAACAAUCAGCUCUCUCUCAGCAACAACUAACACAGGACAUAACAAUCAGCUCUCUCAGCAACAACUAACACAGGACAUAACAAUCAGCUCUCUCAGCAACAACUAACACAGGACAUAACAAUCAGCUCUCUCUCAGCAACAACCAACACAGGACAUAACAAUCAGCUCUCUCAGCAACAACCAACACAGGACAUAACAAUCAGCUCUCUCUCAGCAACAACUAACACAGGACAUAACAAUCAGCUCUCUCUCAGCAACAACUAACACAGGACAUAACAAUCAGCUCUCUCUCAGCAACACCUAACACAGGACAUAACAAUCAGCUCUCUCUCAGCAACAACCAACACAGGACAUAACAAUCAGCUCUCUCAGCAACAACCAACACAGGACAUAACAAUCAGCUCUCUCAGCAACAACCAACACAGGACAUAACAAUCAGCUCUCUCAGCAACAACCAACACAGGACAUAACAAUCAGCUCUCUCUCAGCAACAACUAACACAGGACAUAUCAAUCAGCUCUCUCUCAGCAACAACUAACACAGGACAUAACAAUCAGCUCUCUCUCAGCAACAACUAACACAGGACAUAACAAUCAGCUCUCUCAGCAACACCUAACACAGGACAUAACAAUCAGCUCUCUCAGCAACAACCAACACAGGACAUAACAAUCAGCUCUCUCUCAGCAACAACUAACACAGGACAUAACAAUCAGCUCUCUCUCAGCAACACCUAACACAGGACAUAACAAUCAGCUCUCUCAGCAACAACCAACACAGGACAUAACAAUCAGCUCUCUCAGCAACAACUAACACAGGACAUAACAAUCAGCUAUCUCUCAGCAAAACUAAACAAAAUACAGGACAUAACAAUCAGCUCUUUCUGAGCAACAACUAACAUAGGACACACUAAUCAGCUCUCUCCUAACAAAGGAACACUUGCUUUUCUAGCUUCAGAAGGAGACUGUAAUGGGAUACAGCUGUAUCCUCUGAAGAGAGGGUGGGGUCAGCCUCAAUUAGCAAUGGGGCCGACCAAUCAGCUGCUUGGGGGAAUUUCAGGAAGCCAUCCUGAAACAUACACAUACAAACAAACCACAACACAGAAACUGGGGAACGUAACAAUCUGGGGCCUGUUGCACAAAAGUAGAAUUAAGACAUCCGGGAUAAAUGACUCAGCUGAGCUCAAUGAAGCCAAAACAUGUGCGUCCAGGCUUAAUUGGUUGCACAAAGACCAAGCCAGGAUGAGCAGACACGGAUUCAUUAAGCCAGGUGAAACCAAUCCUGGAUAGGUGCGCGCUCACGGCUCACUCAAAUAGACCCCGCCACAGAUCACAGAUUAACUGAUUUACCAUGGCAACUAGAGCCGCGUAUUUUUCCCCGUCGGAAGCACAAAUCCUCAUGGAGGCAUACGAGGAGGUAAAAGAUAUAAUUAAGAAGAAAGGCAACACCGCCACAGUGAUAAAGCAAUGAGAAAAAGCGUGGCAAAGUAUUGCAGACCGCCUGAAUGCGUAAGUAGUGCACAAUUACACACUCACCGCUCCGCUGAAACAUCACAAUUACAAUUCAAAUAUUUAAUUCACAUCUCCAAAAAUGCAGUUGUACUGUAAUUAUGAAACGGUAAAAAUUUUAAUUGAAAUGCACUGCAGAUAUGAGUGAAAUUGUGUAAAGUAACUCCAUCACACUGUAUAAAGCUAUGAUAAAUUUUUUGAUAUUUUUACUGAAAACAAGACAAAAAUACCAAGUAAUUUUUUGCAGUGUGACUCCAUUAAAUGUGUGUGUGUGUGUGUGUGUGUGUGUGUGUGUGUGUGUGUGUGUGUGUGUGUGUAGAUUAAACAUGAACGGGCCAAAACGGACAUGGCAGCAGGUCAAAAUCAAAUACAAGAACAUUCUGCAGAAUGCAGUGAAAAAGAAUACCCACAGACAAGGCACGGGUGGUGGGUCACCAAAGGCUGACCUUACCCCAGCAGAGGACAUGGCCUUGGAGCUAAAUAAAGGCAGGCCCGUCUUAGAGGGGAUCCCUGGGGGUAAAAGAGACGAGCAUAGGUUCCUCCCAAGAUGCCACCCGCUUCAUUCAAGUGCCUGGCAGCACUGUGUUCCUGUUAGAGCCACCAGCACAAGCACCAGACGAUGCUGAUCCAGGUGAAGGCCCCAGUGCAGCAGCAACAGCACAUGAUGGAGACGAUGAUGAGGAGGAGACCAUCUCUCUGGAUUCCAGAAGGCAUGAGGUAUCAUGUUAAGACUGUGAAAGUACUAUUUACUUACAAUGGUGAGGAGUCCUCAUCAAAAUCAAAAAAUCUAAUUUCUUUUACAGGACCCAGAUGCUAUACAGUGGGAAAACCAGCCUGGCAACAUAGUGCGUAUUAAUAAAAGGACACCACAUCCUGCCAAAUUCCAGCUGCGCUAAUUGUAUUGUGUUCACAGAGCUCACAAGCUAUCAGAAAGUUGUAUGGCAACCACCUCCGGCGCCAAAUAGAACUGGCAGACAUAGACAUUCAGUACAAGAAGAAAAAGAUGGAAAAUCUUGCACUGGAGUCCGAAAUAAAAAGAGGACAAUUAGGAAACUGGACCUUGAAAUAAAAAACUUGAGAGGGAGGUGAGAUAUGCCUUCAAUGUACACUGUAUGCUAACUGUAACACAAAUGUAUUAAUCAUUAUUUUUCUUUCCUCCCCAGCUCCAAGAAGAUGACACAGCUCAAAAUAAAAAUUAGGUAUAUUCUCGUAAAGUCAAGUGAGCCAUGACAUAUGAGCUCUUAUUGUGAGCACACAGGACGGUGGCAUCUUUCUAAGGUUUUUUUA